rnacentral:lncRNA from 1 species
AAGAAGUUAUAGAGGGUUGAAGUGAGCACAUCCAAAUCAAAGGCAGUAAGUAAGUGAUUUUGUUCAUAGUAAUGGUUGGAGCCAUAUCUUGAGUUUCUAGAUGAAUUUUGGGCUCAAACCUUUUAAAAAAGAUAGAUUGUUAUAUGAAAAAGAUAUAUAUAAAAAUUUUGUGGCAUUUGAGUGCUCAAUUUGUGAGAUAUGAAGAAAAUUGCAUGCAAGUAUAUAAAAACUAGGGUUUGAAGCUACUGUUAGGGUCUUGGUGAUAUAUUAAGAUCUGCGACGAAUUUUUGGUUGAAAUUUUUUGUGGUAGUUUUUAGAAGUACAUCAGUAUUUCAUAUAAAAUUUGAGUAUGUUUGAAUAUUCCGAUAGAAAGUUAUGAAUUUUUGAAGUUUGGAAAUAAUACCCCAUAAGGAUAAACAAGGAUUUAGAAUUUUUUUAAU